rnacentral:snRNA from 14 species
AAAAAUAAGUGGGAGAUGCAUGUGAUCCCUCAGUCAAGAAGGGGAGUUUUUCCAGGGUGACACUUAGCCACUGCAAUCCAGAUCUUCUGACCCCUGAGAUUUCCCCAAACGUGGGGAACUCUUAUUGUGUAGUUUGGGGACUAUGUUACAACUUUCCCUUA